UGGGGAAUUUUGGACAAUGGGCGAAAGCCUGAUCCAGCAAUGCCGCGUGUGUGAAGAAGGCCUUCGGGUUGUAAAGCACUUUUGUCCGGAAAGAAAUCCUUGGCUCUAAUACAGUCGGGGGGAUGACGGUACCGGAAGAAUAAGCACCGGCUAACUACGUGCCAGCAGCCGCGGUAAUACGUAGGGUGCAAGCGUUAAUCGGAAUUACUGGGCGUAAAGCGUGCGCAGGCGGUUUGCUAAGACCGAUGUGAAAUCCCCGGGCUCAACCUGGGAACUGCAUUGGUGACUGGCAGGCUAGAGUAUGGCAGAGGGGGGUAGAAUUCCACGUGUAGCAGUGAAAUGCGUAGAGAUGUGGAGGAAUACCGAUGGCGAAGGCAGCCCCCUGGGCCAAAUACUGACGCUCAUGCACGAAAGCGUGGGGAGCAAACAGGAUUAGAUACCCUGGUAGUCCACGCCCUAAACGAUGUCAACUAGUUGUUGGGGAUUCAUUUCCUUAGUAACGUAGCUAACGCGUGAAGUUGACCGCCUGGGGAAUACGGUCGCAAGAUUAAAACUUAAAGGAAUUGACGGGGUCAUAGCUGUUUCCU
rnacentral:rRNA from 1 species